ACCCCACCUACUUUCAGGAAAUCCUUUCUCACAGCCGUUUUUCCCUCCCCAGAGCACUACAGACACCACUGGUUUCCUGAGAAACCCUUAAAAGGGUUUUCUUUAGGAUUUCACCUUCAAACCCCAAAUUUAGUAGUACCCAAGUGCCCUAAACCCUACCUACUUUCAGGAUAUCCCUGCUCACAGGUGUUUUUCUUUUCCCAGAGCACUACAGACACCAUUGAGACAAAAGGGUUUUCUUUAGGAUUUUGCCUUCAAACUCCAAAUUUAGUGGGAGAUAAAGGCUCUAAACCCCACCUACUUUCAGGAAGUCCUUUCUCACAACCAUUUUUCCCUCCCCAGAGCACUACAGACACCAUUGAGAAAAAAGGGUUUUCCUUAGGAUUUUGCCUUCAAACCCCAAAUUUAGUGGUGUCUAAACCCCAUCUACCUUUGGGAUAUCCUUUCUCACAGCCGAUUUUCUUUUCCCAGAGCACUACAGACACCAUUGAGAAAAAAGGGUUUUCCUUAGGAUUCUGCCUUCAAACCCCAAAUUUAGUGGUACCCAGCGCCCUCACCCCCAUUUACUUUUGGGAUAUCCUUUCUCACAUCUCUUUUCCCCUCCCUGGAGCACUACAAACACCAUUGAGAAAAAAGGGUUUUCCUUAGGAUUUUGCCUUCAAACCCCAAAUUGAGUGGUAUCUAAACCCCAUCUACCUUUGGGAUAUUUUUUCUCACAGCCAUUUUUCUUUUCCCAGAGCACUACAGACACCAUUGAGACAAAAGGGUUUUCCUUAGGAUUUUGCCUUUAAACCCCAAAUUUAGUAGUACCCAAGUGCCCUAAACCCCAUUUACUUUUGGGAUAUCCUUUCUCACAGGUGUUUUUCCUUCCCCAGAGCACUACAAACACCAUUAGGAAAAAAGGGUUUUCCUUAGGAUUUCGCCUUCAAACCCCAAAUUUAGUGGUACCCAAGUGCCCUCACCCCCAUUUACUUUUGGGAUAUCCUUUCUCACCUCUCUUUUCCCCUCCCCAGAGCACUACAGACACCAUUGAGAAAAAAGGGUUUUCCUUAGGAUUUCACCUUCAAACCCCAAAUUUAGUGAUAUCUAAACCCCAUCUACCUUUGGGAUAUCUUUUCUCACAGCCGAUUUUCUUUUCCCAGAGCACUACAGACACCAUUUAGAAAAAAGGGUUUUCUUUAGGAUUUUGCCUUCAAACCCCAAAUUUAGUGGUAUCUAAGUGCCCUAAACCCCAUCUACCUUUGGGAUAUCUUUUCUCACAGCCGGUUUUCUUUUCCCAGAGCACUACAGACACCAUUAAGAAAAAAGGGUUUUCCUUAGGAUUUCACCUUUAAACCCCAAAUUUAGUGGGAGAUAAUGGCUCUGAACCCCACCUACUCUUGAGAUGUCUUCUCUGACCUCUCUUUUUUUCCUCCCCCGAGCUGAGAAAAAAGGGUUUUCUUUAGGAUUUGGCCUUCAAACCCCAAAUUUAGUGGUAUCUAAACCCCAUCUACCUUUGGGAUAUCCUUUCUCACAGCCGUUUUUCCCUCCCCAGAGCACUACAGACACCACUGGUUCCCCGAGAAGCCCUCCAAAGGGCAUUGUUUAGGAUUUCACCUUCAACCCCCAAAUUUAGUGGUACCGAAGUGCCCUCACCCCCAUUUACUUU
rnacentral:lncRNA from 1 species